UACGUAGGUUGCGAGCGUUAUCCGGAAUUAUUGGGCGUAAAGGGCGCGUAGGCGGCUUUGCAAGUGACGGGUGAAAUCCCUCGGCUUAACCGAGGAACUGCCUGUCAGACUGCAUGGCUUGAGACCGGGAGAGGUGAGUGGAAUUCCCAGUGUAGCGGUGAAAUGCGUAGAUAUUGGGAGGAACACCAGUGGCGAAGGCGGCUCACUGGACCGGUACUGACGCUGAGGCGCGAAAGCGUGGGGAGCAAACAGG
rnacentral:rRNA from 1 species